rnacentral:rRNA from 1 species
UGCUUAGGAAUCUGCCUAUUAGUGGGGGACAACAUUUCGAAAGGAAUGCUAAUACCGCAUACGUCCUACGGGAGAAAGCAGGGGAUCUUCGGACCUUGCGCUAAUAGAUGAGCCUAAGUCGGAUUAGCUAGUUGGUGGGGUAAAGGCCUACCAAGGCGACGAUCUGUAGCGGGUCUGAGAGGAUGAUCCGCCACACUGGGACUGAGACACGGCCCAGACUCCUACGGGAGGCAGCAGUGGGGAAUAUUGGACAAUGGGCGCAAGCCUGAUCCAGCCAUGCCGCGUGUGUGAAGAAGGCCUUAUGGUUGUAAAGCACUUUAAGCGAGGAGGAGGCUACUUUAGUUAAUACCUAGAGAUAGUGGACGUUACUCGCAGAAUAAGCACCGGCUAACUCUGUGCCAGCAGCCGCGGUAAUACAGAGGGUGCAAGCGUUAAUCGGAUUUACUGGGCGUAAAGCGCGCGUAGGCGGCUAAUUAAGUCAAAUGUGAAAUCCCCGAGCUUAACUUGGGAAUUGCAUUCGAUACUGGUUAGCUAGAGUGUGGUAGAGGAUGGUAGAAUUCCAGGUGUAGCGGUGAAAUGCGUAGAGAUCUGGAGGAAUACCGAUGGCGAAGGCAGCCAUCUGGCCUAACACUGACGCUGAGGUGCGAAAGCAUGGGGAGCAAACAGGAUUAGAU